rnacentral:rRNA from 1 species
AUUGAACGCUGGCGGCAUGCUUUACACAUGCAAGUCGAACGGCAGCGCGGGCUUCGGCCUGGCGGCGAGUGGCGAACGGGUGAGUAAUAUAUCGGAACGUACCCAAGAGUGGGGGAUAACGUAGCGAAAGUUACGCUAAUACCGCAUACUAUCUAAGGAUGAAAGCAGGGGAUCGCAAGACCUUGUGCUCCUGGAGCGGCCGAUAUCUGAUUAGCUAGUUGGUGAGGUAAAGGCUCACCAAGGCAACGAUCAGUAGCUGGUCUGAGAGGACGACCAGCCACACUGGAACUGAGACACGGUCCAGACUCCUACGGGAGGCAGCAGUGGGGAAUUUUGGACAAUGGGGGCAACCCUGAUCCAGCAAUGCCGCGUGAGUGAAGAAGGCCUUCGGGUUGUAAAGCUCUUUUGUCAGGGAAGAAAAGGUCGUGGCUAAUAUCCACGACUGCUGACGGUACCUGAAGAAUAAGCACCGGCUAACUACGUGCCAGCCGCCGCCGUAACAC